UAGGGAAUCUUCGGCAAUGGGGGCAACCCUGACCGAGCAACGCCGCGUGAGUGAAGAAGGUUUUCGGAUCGUAAAGCUCUGUUGUAAGAGAAGAACGUGUGUGAGAGUGGAAAGUUCACACAGUGACGGUAACUUACCAGAAAGGGACGGCUGACUACGUGCCAG
rnacentral:rRNA from 1 species